GACGAACGCUGGCGGCGUGCUUAACACAUGCAAGUCGAGCGGAGCGGCGAACGGGUGAGUAACGCGUGAGUAACUGCCCCCCUCUCUGGGAUAACAGUUGGAAACGGCUGCUAAUACCGGAUAGUGGGGGAUGACUCGCGUCCUAUCAGCUUGUUGGUGGGGUAGUGGCCUACCAAGUGGACGACGGGUAGCCGGCCUGAGAGGGCGACCGGCCACAUUGGGCUGAGAGACGGACCAGACGGCAACGGGGGGCAGCAGGGGGGAAUAUGGCACAAUGGUGGAAAGUCUGAUGCAGCAACGCCGGGUGCGGGAUGACGGCCUUCGGGUUGUAAACCGCUUUCAGCCAUGACGCGGUAGUUGCAGAAGAAGCACCGGCUAACUACGUGCCAGCAGCCGCGGUAAUAC
rnacentral:rRNA from 1 species